rnacentral:rRNA from 1 species
CUGGCUCAGAACGAACGCUGGCGGCAGGCCUAACACAUGCAAGUCGAGCGCGCCCUUCGGGGUGAGCGGCGGACGGGUUAGUAACGCGUGGGAACGUACCCUUUGGUAGGGAAUAGCCACUGGAAACGGUGAGUAAUACCCUAUGAGCCCUUCGGGGGAAAGAUUUAUCGCCAAAGGAUCGGCCCGCGUUAGAUUAGGUAGUUGGUGGGGUAAUGGCCUACCAAGCCUACGAUCUAUAGCUGGUUUUAGAGGAUGAUCAGCAACACUGGGACUGAGACACGGCCCAGACUCCUACGGGAGGCAGCAGUGGGGAAUCUUGGACAAUGGGGGCAACCCUGAAUCCAGCCAUGCCGCGUGAGUGAAGAAGGCCUUAGGGUCGUAAAGCUCUUUCGCCUGUGAAGAUAAUGACGGUAGCAGGUAAAGAAACCCCGGCUAACUCCGUGCCAGCAGCCGC